GAUGGAACUGCCAUUGAUACUGUAAGACUUGAAUGCUUAGGAAGUAACUAGAAUAUGUAGUGUAGCGGUGAAAUGCUUAGAUAUUACAUGGAAUACCAAUUGCGAAGGCAGGUUACUACUAAGUGAUUGACGCUGAUGGACGAAGGCGUGGGGAGCGAACAGGAUUAGAUACCCUGGUAGUCCACGCCGUAAACGAUGGAUACUAGCUGUUCGGAGCAAUCUGAGUGGCUAAGCGAAAGUGAUAAGUAUCCCACCUGGGGAGUACGCACGCAAGUGUGAAACUCAAAGGAAUAGACGGGGCCCGCACAAGCGGUGGAGCAUGUGGUUUAAUUCGAUGAUACGCGAGGAACCUUACCAGGGCUUAAAUGUAGAUUGACAGGUCUGGAAACAGACUUUUCUUCGGACAAUUUACAAGGUGCUGCAUGGUUGUCGUCAGCUCGUGCCGUGAGGUGUCAGGUUAAGUCCUAUAACGAGCGCAACCCCUGUCGUUAGUUGCCAGCGAGUCAUGUCGGGAACUCUAACGAGACUGCACAGUGUAAACUGUGAGGAAGGUGGGGAUGACGUCAAAUCAUCACGGCCCUUACGUCCUGGGCCACACACGUGCUAUAAUGGUAGGUACAGAGAGCAGCCACUGCGCGAGCAGGAGCGAAUCUACAAAACCUAUCUCAGUUCGGAUCGGAGUCUGCAACUCGACUCCGUGA
rnacentral:rRNA from 1 species